AUUGAACGCUGGCGGCAGGCCUAACACAUGCAAGUCGAACGGAGCGGCGGACGGGUGAGUAAUGCCUAGGAAUCUGCCUGGUCGUGGGGGAUAACGUCCGGGAAGGGGCGCUAAUACCGCAUGCUAUCAGAUGAGCCUAGGUCGGAUUAGCUAGUUGGGGGGGUAAAGGCCUAGCAAGGCGACGAUCCGUAACUGGUCUGAGAGGAUGAUCAGUCACACUGGAACUGAGACACGGUCCAGACUCCUACGGGAGGCAGCAGUGGGGAAUAUUGGACAAUGGGCGAAAGCCUGAUCCAGCCAUGCCGCGUGUGUGAAGAAGGUCUUCGGAUUGUAAAGCACUUUAAGUUGGGAGGCGGUACCAAAAGAAUAAGCACCGGCUAACUUCGUGCCAGCAGCCGCGGUAAUAC
rnacentral:rRNA from 1 species